CCUACGGGUGGCAGCAGUGGGGGAUAUUGCACAAUGGGGGAAACUCUGAUGCAGCGACGCCGCGUGGGCGAAGAAGUAUUUCGGUAUGUAAAGCUCUAUCAGCAGGGCAGAAGAAAUGACGGUACCUGAGUAAUAAGCACCGGCUAAAUACGUGCCAGCAGCCGCAGUAAUACGUAUGGGGCAAGCGUUAUCCGGAUUUACUGGGUGUAAAGGGGGCGCAGGCGGCACGGCAAGCCUGAUGUGAAAGCCAGCGGCCCAACCGCGGGACUGCAUUGGAAACUACCGGUCUGGAGUGCCGGAGAGGUAGGCGGAAGUCCUGGUGUAGCGGUGAAAUGCGUAGAUAUUAGGAGGAACACCGGUGGCGAAGGCGGCCUACUGGACGGUGACUGACGCUGAGGCUCGAAAGCGUGGGGAGCAAACAGGAUUAGAUACCCCUGUAGUC
rnacentral:rRNA from 1 species